rnacentral:rRNA from 1 species
CCCCUAGAUGUUCUGGGCCGCACGCGCGCUACACUGAACAGUUCAACAAGUCUUAACCUUGGCCGAUAGGGCUGGGUAAUCUUUGAACGCUGUUCGUGAUUGGGAUAGACCUUUGCAAUUAUGGGUCUUCAACGAGGAAUUCCUAGUAAACGCAAGUCAUCAGCUUGCAUUGAUUACGUCCCUGCCCUUUGUACACACCGCCCGUCGCACCUACCGAUUGAAUGGUCCGGUGAAAUCUCGGGACGGCGGCUUGGUCGCUUGCGUCCGACUGCUGAAACUUGAUUAAACCAUAUCAUUUAGAGGAAGGUGAAGUCGUAACA